CACCGCGGUUAUACGAUAGGCCCAAGUUGACAGACCCCGGCGUAAAGCGUGGUUAGGGAAAACUCAAAACUAAAGCCGAAUAUCUUCAGGGCAGUUAUACGCUUCCGAAGACACGAAGCCCUUCCACGAAAGUGACUUUAUUGCCCCCGACCCCACGAAAGCUAGGACA
rnacentral:rRNA from 1 species